rnacentral:rRNA from 1 species
UCGGGGACGGAGAAGGCUAGGCCAGCUUGGCGUUGGUUGUCCAAGUUUAAGGUGGUAGGCUGAGAUCUUAGGUAAAUCCGGGAUCUUAAGGCCGAGAGCUGAUGACGAGUGUCCUUUAGGACACGAAGUGGUUGAUGCCAUGCUUCCAAGAAAAGCUUCUAAGCUUCAGGUAACCAGGAACCGUACCCCAAACCGACACAGGUGGUUGGGUAGAGAAUACCAAGGCGCUUGAGAGAACUCGGGUGAAGGAACUAGGCAAAAUGGCACCGUAACUUCGGGAGAAGGUGCGCCGGUGAGGGUGAAGCAUUUACUGCGUAAGCCCACGCCGGUCGAAGAUACCAGGCCGCUGCAACUGUUUAUUAAAAACACAGCACUCUGCAAACACGAAAGUGGACGUAUAGGGUGUGACGCCUGCCCGGUGCCGGAAGGUUAAUUGAUGGGGUUAGCUAACGCGAAGCUCUUGAUCGAAGCCCCGGUAAACGGCGGCCGUAACAAUAACGGUCCUAAGGUAGCGAAAUUCCUUGUCGGGUAAGUUCCGACCUGCACGAAUGGCGUAACGAUGGCGGCGCUGUCUCCACCCGAGACUCAGUGAAAUUGAAAUCGCUGUGAAGAUGCAGUGUAUCCGCGGCUAGACGGAAAGACCCCGUGAACCUUUACUAUAGCUUUGCACUGGACUUUGAAUUUGCUUGUGUAGGAUAGGUGGGAGGCUUUGAAGCGUGGACGCCAGUCUGCGUGGAGCCAACCUUGAAAUACCACCCUGGCAACUUUGAGGUUCUAACUCAGGUCCGUUAUCCGGAUCGAGGACAGUGUAUGGUGGGUAGUUUGACUGGGGCGGUCUCCUCCUAAAGAGUAACGGAGGAGUACGAAGGUGCGCUCAGACCGGUCGGAAAUCGGUCGUAGAGUAUAAAGGCAAAAGCGCGCUUGACUGCGAGACAGACACGUCGAGCAGGUACGAAAGUAGGUCUUAGUGAUCCGGUGGUUCUGUAUGGAAGGGCCAUCGCUCAACGGAUAAAAGGUACUCCGGGGAUACAGGCUGAUACCGCCCAAGAGUUCAUAUCGACGGCGGUGUUUGGCACCUCGAUGUCGGCUCAUCACAUCCUGGGGCUGAAGCCGGUCCCAAGGGUAUGGCUGUUCGCCAUUUAAAGUGGUACGCGAGCUGGGUUUAGAACGUCGUGAGACAGUUCGGUCCCUAUCUGCCGUGGACGUUUGAGAUUUGAGAGGGGCUGCUCCUAGUACGAGAGGACCGGAGUGGACGAACCUCUGGUGUUCCGGUUGUCACGCCAGUGGCAUUGCCGGGUAGCUAUGUUCGGAAUAGAUAACCGCUGAAAGCAUCUAAGCGGGAAACUAGCCUCAAGAUGAGAUCUCACUGGAACCUUGAGUUCCCUGAAGGGCCGUCGAAGACUACGACGUUGAUAGGUGGGGUGUGUAAGCGCUGUGAGGCGUUGAGCUAACCCAUACUAAUUGCCCGUGAGGCUUGACCU